GAGGAUUUAUCUUUGAGUCCUUAAACUUGUUCGCGACCAAAUAAUAUGUUGUUACUAGGACGACAACAUUAUCGAGAUUAGGUCGUUGUGUGACAUAUACGUUGGUUGUCCUCUUAACCAAGGAGUGUGGAGACACUGGUAUGCCAUACAGGUGAAGUGUAGGAGUACAUUUCACUGAACGUAACCAAUUCCGGAAUGCUCUACUGUCGAGAGAUGUUUCGAGUGGAUAUGGGUAUAAGUUUGGCCCUCUGACCUGAGACCGCAACCUAUGACUAGCAAGCAACUCACUGUACUUUGG
rnacentral:lncRNA from 1 species